GCUUGAAAGUAUGAUUAUGAUUGUAAGAAUGAUGAUCUAAAUAAGAACGAAUUCAUGUAGGAUCGAAAGAAGAAGGAGCUAGUUCCGGAUCACAAACAAAGUCACAAGAUCGAGGUAAAGCACAAGCUUAAUUGUCGUUGCGUCGCUCGGAUAUGAACACACCUUGAUCACCCGUGAUGCGCUUCCGCAAUUUUUGUAGUAACCUUAUUAGUCAAAGACUUUUGUCUAAGUUAGUUGUGUUUGGAAGUUUUAUGUUUUAACUAGAUGUUUGUGAAUACUUAAGUAACUUAAACUUGAUGUUGAAACGGUAGUUUA